UAUAAACCAAUCCUUCUCAAUAAUUGUUCAUAUUUUCCCUCUAUUUCCAUCAAUUAAUAGAAAAUAUAUUUAAAUUAUCAUUGAAGUCCAUUCCUCAAUAUAAAAUGGUAGCCAUAUUAUUAUUUCUGCUACAACUCAGACAAAACAUCCUCAAUUCCCACCAUCAACGUCGCUGUUAGCCAAGAUGAGGACUGCCCUAAUGUGCGUGACUCUAAUGUUGCUCAUGCUACCAUCAUCAUCAGAUGCUAGAACCUUUGAAACUUGUAUUCAUACCUAUUCUGGGUCGGGUGAAACAUGCAAUUCCACCAACUGUGAUGAAGUAUGCCGUUAUGAUAACGUCCAUAAUCCUCUUUGUUAUGGGUGGUGCUCCUAUAGGUCCAAAUGCAAUAAAGACGGGUGCAUAUGCAAGUUGUGUAAGAACAUUUGAUGCACAUAGAUGUAAGAUAGAAGGGCAUGUUUACAUUGAAUAACGUCGCAUCAACUCUAGUAGCUGGAAGAUUGCUAAGAACUUGUAUUCUUCCCAAAGUUAUAUUAAAUUACUAAGUGAUUGCGCA